rnacentral:rRNA from 1 species
GAUGAACGCUAGCUGGAGGCUUAAUACAUGCAAGUCGAGCGGGAUUGGUAGCAAUACCAUGAGAGCGGCGCACGGGUGAGUAACGCGUACACGACCUACCUCUGACAGGGGGAUAGCCCUGGGAAACUGGGAUUAAUACCGCAUAUUAUUCUGAUUAAUAAAGGAUUGGAAUGAAAGUUCAGGCGGUCAGAGAUGGGUGUGCGUCUGAUUAGCUAGUUGGUAGGGUAACGGCCUACCAAGGCGAUGAUCAGUAGGGGGCGUGAGAGCGUGAUCCCCCACACGGGUACUGAGACACGGACCCGACUCCUACGGGAGGCUG